ACUUCUGCUGAGGCGUGCGCUCGCCGGCUGGAGUCCCACCUCUUGCUGCAGUCCGGCGAGACUCCUGGGACGAAUCCAUUCUUUCUCCUACUUCCUCUCUAGCAGGCACUCUGAGUCCUCCGCAAAAGAAUGUGCAGGAUCAGAGGCCUCUUUCCAUUCUGCAAGGGUCACGCAAGACCCAUGGAAUUCAACAGGAGGCAAUCUAGGGACUAUAAAAGGUCGCGACGUCUGGCUUGAGGUUAAUGGAAGUUACAAAGGGUCAAAAGCCGACAGUGAGCGCUACCAGGCCGCCCUGUGGGCUCAGGAUAGUUUCCCACCUACUCGACUGUAAUUAGUACUCUGGCGAGAGUAAAAAGGUACUGGCGUGGGACUUAGAAUACAGGAUGCCACCGGCUGAAGAAGAACCUUGUGUGUUUGGAAAAGCGGGCUGCUUCCUAUCGGUCUUGGAUAAAAGGCAACCCAGAGCCCGGGUGCAUCCCUAACUCAUGCCCAAGGAAGGUCGUGCGGAGCCAGAGGACCUAGAAUGUAUAGUGCGCCUUCUGGGUUUGUCCACACAAUAGCGCAGGAACACAGCGACCCAAUAUAGUGAGAAGUGGCCGCAGCGCACACCCUGAGACCCUUCACCAGGCGGCCCACCCGGAGCCUGCCUACUUAGCCCCGCUACCACGAUAAGCCUGGAAUGUCAAAUAUUUGUUCUAGGAACCCAGUGAAACCUUGAGGUAAAGCCCCUCCCCUCCUCCCUCCCAUUCCGGAGCGCGCCUGCGUCAGUCCAGGCUUUCCGGUAAGGACACUCCCUUCCAACUAGUUCCUUCUCGACACCCCUGCAACCCAUCGUCCUGACUAUUUAAACUUCACAAGGUCUUCGCUACAGGCUCAGGUUCAGUGAGGCAGAGUCUUGGCUUCCCUACCCAGUUAUCCCAGAGCUACUGGUAUCGGUUUCUACCCACAACCUCCGAGCAAGGCUCCCCUUUCAACCUGUAGACC
ensembl:processed_transcript 1810019D21Rik RIKEN cDNA 1810019D21 gene